rnacentral:rRNA from 1 species
AACGAACGCUGGCGGCAGGCUUAACACAUGCAAGUCGAACGCACCGCAAGGUGAGUGGCAGACGGGUGAGUAACACGUGGGGAUCUGCCCAAUGGUACGGAAUAGCUCCGGGUAACUGGAAUUAAUACCGUAUGAGCCCGCAAGGGGAAAGAUUUAUCGCCAUUGGAUGAACCCGCGUCGGAUUAGCUAGUUGGUGUGGUAAAAGCGCACCAAGGCGACGAUCCGUAGCUGGUCUGAGAGGAUGAUCAGCCACACUGGGACUGAGACACGGCCCAGACUCCUACGGGAGGCAGCAGUGGGGAAUAUUGGACAAUGGGCGCAAGCCUGAUCCAGCCAUGCCGCGUGAGUGAUGAAGGCCUUAGGGUUGUAAAGCUCUUUCGCCGACGAAGAUAAUGACGGUAGUCGGAGAAGAAGCCCCGGCUAACUUCGUGCCAGCAGCCGCCGUAAUAC